GGCUGGCUGCGAGCGCUUCGACGGUGCCGGCGGCGCUGCGCCAGCCGACCCAGCACAGCGGG
rnacentral:tRNA from 1 species